ACCAUGCAAGUCGAGCGGUAGCACAGAGAGCUUGCUCUCGGGUGACGAGCGGCGGACGGGUGAGUAAUGUCUGGGAAACUGCCUGAUGGAGGGGGAUAACUACUGGAAACGGUAGCUAAUACCGCAUAACGUCGCAAGACCAAAGUGGGGGACCUUCGGGCCUCAUGCCAUCAGAUGUGCCCAGAUGGGAUUAGCUGGUAGGUGGGGUAACGGCUCACCUAGGCGACGAUCCCUAGCUGGUCUGAGAGGAUGACCAGCCACACUGGAACUGAGACACGGUCCAGACUCCUACGGGAGGCAGCAGUGGGGAAUAUUGCACAAUGGGCGCAAGCCUGAUGCAGCCAUGCCGCGUGUGUGAAGAAGGCCUUCGGGUUGUAAAGCACUUUCAGCGGGGAGGAAGGCGGUGAGGUUAAUAACCUCAUCGAUUGACGUUACCCGCAGAAGAAGCACCGGCUAACUCCGUGCCAGCAGCCGCGGUAAUACGGAGGGUGCAAGCGUUAAUCGGAAUUACUGGGCGUAAAGCGCACGCAGGCGGUCUGUCAAGUCGGAUGUGAAAUCCCCGGGCUCAACCUGGGAACUGCAUUCGAAACUGGCAGGCUAGAGUCUUGUAGAGGGGGGUAGAAUUCCAGGUGUAGCGGUGAAAUGCGUAGAGAUCUGGAGGAAUACCGGUGGCGAAGGCGGCCCCCUGGACAAAGACUGACGCUCAGGUGCGAAAGCGUGGGGAGCAAACAGGAUUAGAUACCCUGGUAGUCCACGCUGUAAACGAUGUCGAUUUGGAGGUUGUGCCCUUGAGGCGUGGCUUCCGGAGCUAACGCGUUAAAUCGACCGCCUGGGGAGUACGGCCGCAAGGUUAAAACUCAAAUGAAUUUGACGGGGGGCCCGCACAAGCGGUGGAGCAUGUGGUUUAAUUUCGAUGCAACGCGAAGAACCCUUACCUGGUUCUUGACAUCCACAGAACUUUCCAGAGAUGCAUUGGUGCCCUUUCGGGGAACUGUGAGACAGUGCUGCAUGGCUGUCGUCAGCUCGUGUUGUGAAAUGUUGGGUUAAGUCCCGCAACGAGCGCAACCCUUAUCCUUUGUUGCCAGCGGUUAGGCCGGGAACUCAAAGGAGACUGCCAGUGAUAAACUGGAGGAAGGUGGGGAUGACGUCAAGUCAUCAUGGCCCUUACGACCAGGGCUACACACGUGCUACAAUGGCAUAUACAAAGAGAAGCGACCUCGCGAGAGCAAGCGGACCUCAUAAAGUAUGUCGUAGUCCGGAUUGGAGUCUGCAACUCGACUCCAUGAAGUCGGAAUCGCUAGUAAUCGUAGAUCAGAAUGCUACGGUGAAUACGUUCCCGGGCCUUGUACACACCGCCCGUCACACCAUGGGAGUGGGUUGCAAAAGAAGUAGGUAGCUUAACC
rnacentral:rRNA from 1 species